rfam:Geobacillus kaustophilus HTA426 DNA, complete genome.
AGCGCCGUAAUUUCGCCUAAAGGCAGCCCGCGUCCUGCGGGCAACGGCGAAAUAUCGCCAUCCUGGCGA